GACGAACGCUGGCGGCGUGCUUAACACAUGCAAGUCGAACGGUGAAGGGAUCAGCUUGCUGGUUCUGGAUGAGUGGCGAACGGGUGAGUAACACGUGAGUAACCUGCCCCCUUCUUCUGGAUAACCGCAUGAAAGUGUGGCUAAUACGGGAUAUUCUGCGCCUGCUGCAUGGUGGGUGUGGGAAAGAUAUUGUUUCGGUGGGGGAUGGGCUCGCGGCCUAUCAGCUUGUUGGUGGGGUGAUGGCCUACCAAGGCGGUGACGGGUAGCCGGCCUGAGAGGGAGGACGGUCACACUGGGACUGAGACACGGCCCAGACUCCUACGGGAGGCAGCAGUGGGGAAUAUUGCACAAUGGGCGCAAGCCUGAUGCAGCGACGCCGCGUGAGGGAUGGAGGCCUUCGGGUUGUGAACCUCUUUCGCCAGUGAAGCAGGCCUGUCCCUUGUGGGUGGGUUGACGGUAGCUGGAUAAGAAGCGCCGGCUAACUACGUG
rnacentral:rRNA from 1 species